rnacentral:lncRNA from 1 species
GCAACACUCCCAACUUCUAGCUGCAAGCUCACAGCCUGGCACAUAGUCUGGGCUUGAUGUUCACCGAUUUUCCCUCAGCUCCGACUGUGGCUCCUCUCAGCUGACUCUGACCCUGCUCUCAGCCGGGCUGCAUCUGCCCAUCUCAGCACAUCAAUAAACAGCAGAGGGAAACUACCACCUUGGAAGGAGCCAGGCAGUUUCUGCUGGGUAGGCCGCAGCCUGGAACAUGGAAGUAGCUUCUUCCAUCCUACACUGGAAACCACCCAGCAUCCCGGGCCCUCCAGAGAAGAGCCAGACUCCCUUCCCUGGGAAGAGACUAUAGUCCUAUCUGUAUCCUCCGUGGUCAUUGCCCCUCAGUCACAGCAAUGAAGAGCAAAUUACCUGUUUUCUGUAUGUUCCUCUGACAACAACUGCCACAGAGUAAAUAUGAAAGGUUCUGGAUGAUUCCUUGUCAGCUUUUAUUAAAAUUCCACAUACUUGGCAUUUCUUAGCUAUCUGGGUUGACUCCUGGUUCCACCCCUUACUAGUUGCGUGACCUUGAAAAAGUGACUUACCUUCUCACAUUCUCAGUUUCCAUAUCUGUCAAGUGUAGGUAAAAGCACCAAACUGGUAGAGUUAUUUUGAGAAUUAUAUGAGUUCUGAGUGAGAGGGUGCUAAGACCUUGCUGGUUAGAGUGGUUUUUCAAUCCUGAUCACCUCCUUCUCCCUCUUAGCUUCUUUUCUCCUCCCCCUCCUGCUUCUAGUCUAGGCUUCUGGCAAUUUUGACGUAACAAAAGUGGGAUUCCUUCAUUCCUGACUUCAGAGCUUUUCCUUACUUCAGUAUUGCAUGAUAAUUCUCAAGCCUGUUCUUUACAUAAAUACAAAAAGGAGAAAGUGAAAUAGUAGAGGAACCGACCGAUUUGAAGGAGCUGCCACUAUUUGAUUCCUCCUGUUAGGACAUCUGAAUGACCCCAAGUUCCUGUUCUUGAGGCUGUUGUAUCAUAUUCUUAAAAGCUAUGCAUGCAUUCUGCUUUGAAUGUGUCCCUCAGCCUCAUUCUUCUCCACUUGCUGGGGGCCAUCCCGCCCCACGGGAAGGUAAGUUCAGGCUCAGAAGGAAAGACACGACAAAAAAAUCUUGCUUUUAUUUUUGUUGUCUAAAAUCAUGUUUCAUGCUCUUCUUUGAAUAAAAUCCAGGACUCCAGAGAUGACCUGUUACUUUUCUUUCAGCAAGUCUCUAAUUUGCCGAGGAGUAAACUUGUAAUGAAAAGAAACCAGAACUCCCCAAGGUAGCUCCCCCUCACAGUCAUUCCUCAAGGCAGG